rnacentral:rRNA from 1 species
AACGAACGCUGGCGGCAGGCUUAACACAUGCAAGUCGAACGAGAUCUUCGGAUCUAGUGGCAGACGGGUGAGGAACACGUGGGAACAUCCCUUUCAGUUCGGAAUAACGUUGGGAAACUAACGCUAAUACCGGAUACGUCCUUCGGGAGAAAGAUUUAUCGCUGAAAGAUUGGCCCGCGUCUGAUUAGCUAGUUGGUGAGGUAACGGCUCACCAAGGCUACGAUCAGUAGCUGAUCUGAGAGGAUGAUCAGCCACAUUGGGACUGAGACACGGCCCAAACUCCUACGGGAGGCAGCAGUGGGGAAUAUUGGACAAUGGGCGCAAGCCUGAUCCAGCCAUGCCGCGUGAGUGAUGACGGCCUUCGGGUUGUAAAGCUCUUUUGUCCGGGAAGAUAAUGACUGUACCGGAAGAAUAAGCCCCGGCAAACUUCGUGCCAGCCGCCGCGGUAAGAC